CAGUAGCCACGGGAAUACGUAGGUGGCAAGCGUUGUCCGGAAUUAUUGGGCGUAAAGGGCUCGCAGGCGGUUUCUUAAGUCUGAUGUGAAAGCCCCCGGCUCAACCGGGGAGGGUCAUUGGAAGCUGGGAAACUUGAGUGCAGAAGAGGAGAGUGGAAUUCCACGUGUAGCGGUGAAAUGCGUAGAGAUGUGGAGGAACACCAGUGGCGAAGGCGACUCUCUGGUCUGUAACUGACGCUGAGGAGCGAAAGCGUGGGGAGCGAACAGGAUUAGAUACCCCCGUAGUCCCUGUCUCUUAUAC
rnacentral:rRNA from 1 species